rnacentral:tRNA from 1 species
AUUCCUCUCUGGGGCACUUUUCUCUCCCCGUUAACUAGCGUUUUUGCAGGUUAUCGGGGUUUUUCUUAUUUUU